UACGGGGGGGGCAAGCGUUGUUCGGAAUUACUGGGCGUAAAGGGCUCGUAGGCGGCCAACUAAGUCAGACGUGAAAUCCCUCGGCUUAACCGGGGAACUGCGUCUGAUACUGGAUGGCUUGAGGUUGGGAGAGGGAUGCGGAAUUCCCGGUGUAGUGGUGGAAUGCGUAGAUAUCGGGAGGAACACCAGUGGCGAAGGCGGCUUCCUGGACCGGUUCUGACACUGAGGAGCGAAAGCGUGGGGAGCGAUCCGG
rnacentral:rRNA from 1 species